UCGCAAGCGACGGGUCCAUCGGGAAGGU
rnacentral:sRNA from 1 species